CCUACGGGGGGCUGCAGUGGGGAAUAUUGGACAAUGGGCGAAAGCCUGAUCCAGCCAUGCCGCGUGUGUGAAGAAGGCCUUCGGGUUGUAAAGCACUUUCAGUGGGGAAGAAAGCCUUGGGGCUAAUACCCUCGAGGAAGGACAUCACCCACAGAAGAAGCACCGGCUAACUCCGUGCCAGCAGCCGCGGUAAUACGGAGGGUGCGAGCGUUAAUCGGAAUUACUGGGCGUAAAGCGCGCGUAGGCGGUCUGAUAAGCCGGUUGUGAAAGCCCCGGGCUCAACCUGGGAACGGCAUCCGGAACUGUCAGGCUAGAGUGCAGGAGAGGAAGGUAGAAUUCCCGGUGUAGCGGUGAAAUGCGUAGAGAUCGGGAGGAAUACCAGUGGCGAAGGCGGUCUUCUGGACUGACACUGACGCUGAGGUGCGAAAGCGUGGGUAGCAAACAGGAUUAGAUACCCUAGUAGUC
rnacentral:rRNA from 1 species